GGUGCCGCCGCCGGGAGCCGGUGCGGCUGUGAAGGCUGGAGCUUCUUGCUGCCGCCGCUCGUCGGGCAUGGUGUUGGAUGCCGGCCCGCCUCGCCUGACUCGCGGUGCUCAGAAGAAAGGUGGCAGUAAUGCUAACGCUGGCAAGCAAGCUGAAGCGGGAUGAUGGUCUCAAAGGAUCCCGGACAUCUGCCUCCACAUCUGACUCUACUCGACGGGUCUCUGUGAGAGACAAGUUGCUUGUAAAAGAGGUUGCAGAACUUGAAGCUAAUUUACCCUGUACAUGUAAAGUACACUUUCCUGAUCCAAACAAGCUUCAUUGCUUUCAGCUGACUGUAAGCCCAGAUGAGGGUUACUACCAGGGUGGAAAAUUUCAGUUUGAAACUGAAGUUCCUGAAGCCUACAACAUGGUGCCUCCCAGGGUGAAAUGCUUGACUAAAAUCUGGCAUCCCAAUAUCACAGAAACAGGGGAAAUAUGUCUAAGUUUACUAAGAGAACACUCAAUUGAUGGCACUGGCUGGGCUCCCACUAGGACAUUGAAGGAUGUUGUUUGGGGAUUAAACUCUUUAUUUACUGAUCUCUUGAAUUUUGAUGAUCCACUGAAUAUUGAAGCAGCAGAACAUCAUUUACGAGACAAGGAAGAUUUCCGGGACAAAGUGGAUGAAUACAUCAAACGCUAUGCCAGAUGAUAAGAGGGGAGAUUGCAGUGCUGAGGACUUUGUCACAGCUGUCUCUGAUGUGAAACAGCUAGAGGUAGCCCUCCUCCCCAUCCUCAUACUCCCUGUCAGCCCCUUGGGCUUGUCCCAGUCUUGCGACCUUGUCCUGAAGACCAUCCUCCUGGCUACACAAUACAGCAAGAAAAUGUCUGGGCUUCGAGAGCGUUGUCCGCUUCCCUUAACAUGUUUCCUGAAACUCUGUCUAGGCUGUGGGAUUCCUCCGAAGUUGUAAUGAACUCACCAUUGAGGAUAGCACUUGCUUCCCUUACCCCCAACAAAAUCGGUGUCCUGCACAAGUGAUGUAAUGACAUGUUUGGUGUGACUGGCAGAUUGGCAAUAAGAAACCCGCUAUAAACUGUGAUUGGAUGCACAUUCUCUUAGCUUCUUCCACGAAUGUUGGCCCUGCCUAGAUGUGAAGCUUCCCGGAAUGCAUAGUCAUUCACUGUAGAUCUUACUGAAAUGCGUAUUUUAUUUAAUGGAGCAUUGUGCCGUGCAGGUUGAUGUGGUGCUGGAGUAGCUGAGAGUCAACAGGAGGGUGAUGAUACACUUGGCAGUAUCCUCAACAUAAGAAACUUCAAAGGCCUGCCCAGCAGUGACAUACUUCCUCCAACAAGGCCAUCCAUACCCACGCCAAUAAAGCCAUACCUCCUAAUGGUGCCACUCAUAAUGAGAUUAUGAGUCAGUUACAUCCAGAAUACCACGUUCCACUCCCUGGCCCCAAUAAGCUUGUAACAAUAUACUGCAAAGCCUGGGAGCAGAUGGGCAUUGCCUAUAGAGUACCCCAAUGUGAAUGACGGCUGGUUUCAGAAACCAUACAGGCCGGAAGGAAGGUGCAUGACAUUAAAUGCUGAAAGGCGCACGUGGCAAAAACCUGGUUUCUGGAAACAAAGUGAAAAGUCAGCUUGAUUCUUCAAAUGCUGUAAAACAAAGAAUCACUGCCCUAUUUGUAAAGGUUGGCUAAAACCUUCAAUAUGGGUGCAGUGGGGCACCAUGUUUAAUCCCAGCACUUAGAAGACAGCCAGGUGGAUCUCUGCAAAUCCAAGGCCAGUCAGGGCUAUGUAAUGAGACUCAAAAAUUAUGUAAAACCAAAGUUCUUCUAAAAUGGAUGGUGGGGCCGUUAGAAGUCAUAGAUGGUCAAAUAGAAAUCGCCCAUCUGAUGCUCAAGCAUAGUGAUGCUGAAAGUCAGCGGUGAGGAACAGGAGUCGUCAGAGAGGACAGAGACUGAAUACUGUAAUACUAUAAAUACUUGCAAAUACUCAAGUAUUGUUAAAUUUUAAUUAAAAACGGGGGUGGGGUGUAGCACUUAACCUAGGAUGUGUGAGGUCCUGGGAUUAUCUCUAGUACUCCCACCCCCUGUACCCCCCAAAUGGCAAACUAAAUUCAGGUAAGAUUCCCUCCGCUCAUCAAAAAUGGGUGAAACGAUGCAAGGGAACUGGGAAGAGAUGUGUCAGUAGCUAAGGACACGAAGUGCUCUUCUGGGAGACCCAAGUUCCGUUCCUAGCACUCGUGGGUGACUUGCAAGCGCAUGUAGCUCCAGCUUCAGGGGACGCCAAGCCCUUCUCUGGAAUCCAUGGACAACUGUACUCAUGUACAUACACGUGUAAUUUAAAAAUAAAUGUUUUUAAC